rnacentral:rRNA from 1 species
UUGGUUAAGGGCAAUUAAAUGGCCGCGGUAAAUCUGACCGUGAUAAUGUAGCGCAAUCAAUAGCCAAUUAAUUGUUGGCAAGUAUGAAUGGCGUCACGAGUGCUCUACUGUCUCAAGAUAAAAACCAAUGAAAUUGAAGUUGUAGUGAAGAUGCUACAUUUAAAUUAUAAGACGAGAAGACCCCAUUGAGCUUUACUGGAGGCUUAUAUUGUGUUUUUAAAAUUAAUAUUUAGAUUAUGUGGGUAUUAUUAAAAUCAAUUAUAAAUUGUAUUAAUAUGGAAAACCACUUUUUAAUUAAAAAAAAAACUAAUUAUAAAGAAAAGUAUAAGUUGGACAGUUUAGUUGGGGCGACUGCCUUCUAAAUAGUAACGAAGGUGUACAUAAGGUAAAUAAUAUAAUAGUAUAAAGUAAAAAGCCUGACAGUAAGAAGGACUUUCAAGCUGACACAAAUAAAGGAUUUUAUUUUGUGGGUUAUAAUGACCCGUUAGUUAAGAAUGGAAUUGCUAACGAUUAACGAAUAAAAGUUACCAUGGGGAUAACAGCGUAAUAUUGUUU